rnacentral:rRNA from 1 species
GUUACAGCCGCCGCGGUAAUACGUAGGGGGCAAGCGUUGUCCGGAUUUAUUGGGCGUAAAGAGCGUGUAGGCGGCCAUACAGGUCCGUUGUGAAAACUGGAGGCUUAACCUCCAGACGUCGAUGGAAACCGUAUGGCUAGAGUCCGGAAGAGGAGAGUGGAAUUCCUGGUGUAGCGGUGAAAUGCGCAGAUAUCAGGAAGAACACCCGUGGCGAAGGCGGCUCUCUGGGACGGUACUGACGCUGAGACGCGAAAGCGUGGGGAGCGAACAGGAUUAGAAACCCGUGUAGUCC